GAUGAACGCUAGCGGCAGGCUUAACACAUGCAAGUCGAGGGGCAGCGCGGGAUAGCAAUAUCCUGGCGGCGACCGGCGGACGGGUGCGUAACGCGUGAGCGACAUGCCCGUUGCCCGGGGACAACCGGUGGAAACGCCGACUAAUCCCCGAUGGGAUAUUGUGCCGCAUGGCACGAUAUUGAAAGUUACGGCGGCGACGGAUUGGCUCGCGUCCGAUUAGCUUGUUGGCGGGGUAACGGCCCACCAAGGCUGCGAUCGGUAGGGGUUCUGAGAGGAAGGCCCCCCACAAUGGGACUGAGACACGGCCCAUACUCCUACGGGAGGCAGCAGUGAGGAAUAUUGGUCAAUGGGCGGAAGCCUGAACCAGCCAGGCCGCGUGCGGGAAGGAGGCCCUAUGGGCUGUGAACCGCUUUUGCCUGGGGGCAAUAAGGGCGUCGCGCACGUCCGAUGAGAGUACCAGGCGAAUAAGCAUCGGCUAACUCCGUG
rnacentral:rRNA from 1 species